rnacentral:rRNA from 1 species
ACCCGCUGAACUUAAGCAUAUCAAUAAGCGGAGGAAAAGAAACCAACAGGGAUUGCCUCAGUAACGGCGAGUGAAGCGGCAAGAGCUCAAAUUUAAAAGCCGACGUAGCUUUAAGAGACGUCCGCAUUGUAAUUUGAAGAGGCAUUCUCGGGUCGGGGCUCAGGCCUAAGUUCCUUGGAAGAGGGCGUCGUGGAGGGUGAGAACCCCGUUCGCGGCCUGCUGUCGACCUUUCCCCGAUCCACACGAGGUGCCAUCGAAGAGUCGAGUUGUUUGGGAAUGCAGCUCAAAGCGGGUGGUAAAUUCCAUCUAAAGCUAAAUAUUGACGGGAGACCGAUAGCGAACAAGUAGAGUGAUCGAAAGAUGAAAAGCACUUUGAAAAGAGAGUUAAACAGCACGUGAAAUUGUUGAAAGGGAAGCGCUUGAGACCAGUCACGGACCGAGGCGAUCAGUGGGACGUCCCUCUCGGGGGAGGAACCGCGCACUCGCUUUUCGGGUUUUCCGGGUCAACAUCGGUUGGGACGGUGUCAGAAAGGUCGCGGGAACGUGGCUCCCUUCACGGGGAGUGUUAUAGCCCGUGGCGUCAAAGUCGCCAGUUUCGACCGAGGACCGCGCUCGUCUUUUUCGAGCAAGGAUGUUGACGUAAUGGUCCC